GAACGUUGGCGGCGUGGAUUAGGCAUGCAAGUCGUGCGAGAAGUCUUUUGCUUGCAUUAGACGGACAGCGGCGAAAGGGAGAGUAACGCGUGGAUACCUACCUCCAGAUCAGGGAUAGCUGCGGGAAACUGCAGGUAAUACCUGAUAAUGUCCCCGGACCAAAGGUGAGAUUCCGUCUGGAGACGGAUCCGCGUCCUAUUAGCUUGUUGGUGGGGUAACGGCCUACCAAGGCAACGAUGGGUACCGGGCGUGAGAGCGUGACCCGGCUCACUGGGACUGAGACACUGCCCAGACACCUACGGGUGGCUGCAGUCGAGAAUCUUCGGCAAUGGACGAAAGUCUGACCGAGCGACGCCGCGUGCGGGAUGAAGGCCUUCGGGUUGUAAACCGCUGUCAGUUGGGAGGAAAUCACAUGGGGUCAUCCCCAUGUGUUGACCUAUCUUCAGAGGAAGGACGGGCUAAGUUCGUGCCAGCAGCCGCGGUAAGACGAACCGUCCAAACGUUAUUCGGAAUUACUGGGCUUAAAGGGUGCGUAGGCGGUGCUGUAAGUUGGGUGUGAAAUCCCUCGGCUCAACCGAGGAAUUGCGCCCAAUACUGCAGUACUAGAGGGAGACAGAGGUGAGCGGAACUUGUGGUGGAGCGGUGAAAUGCGUUGAUAUCACAAGGAACACCUGUGGCGAAAGCGGCUCACUGGGUCUCUUCUGACGCUGAGGCACGAAAGCUGGGGGAGCGAACGGGAUUAGAUACCCCGGUAGUCCCAGCUGUAAACG
rnacentral:rRNA from 1 species